GGAUCGAUAGCUCAGCGGUACGAGCGAGGGAUUGCAGAUCCCUAGGUCCCGUGUUCGAUCCACGGUCGGUCCU
rfam:Nectria haematococca mpVI 77-13-4 chromosome 12 genomic scaffold NECHAsca_41_chr12_2_0, whole genome shotgun sequence.